CCCUUAGAGUUUGAUCCUGGCUCAGAACGAACGCUGGCGGCGUGCUUAACACAUGCAAGUCGAACGUGAUCCGGAGCUUGCUCCGGUGAAAGUGGCGCACGGGUGAGUAACGCGUGGAUAACCUGCCCUGGUAUCUGGGAUAACAUCUCGAAAGGGGUGCUAAUACCGGAUAAGCCUACGGAUUCCUCGGAGUCUGCAGGAAAAGGUGGCCUCUAUUUAUAAGCUACCGUAUCAUGAUGGGUCCGCGUACCAUUAGCUAGUUGGUGGGGUAAUGGCCUACCAAGGCGACGAUGGUUAGCUGGUCUGAGAGGAUGAUCAGCCACACUGGAACUGAGACACGGUCCAGACUCCUACGGGAGGCAGCAGUGGGGAAUUUUGCGCAAUGGGGGAAACCCUGACG
rnacentral:rRNA from 1 species